rnacentral:lncRNA from 1 species
UGUUUAAUAUGUUUCGUGAAUUUGAACUCGAUCUAACGGUUGAAUUGAGGAAUAUUGAGGUUUAAAAGGUCAAGGUCUCAGAAAGUAGAAUUUUAGAUCUAGUGGAGGUUUUUAAUAUUUCUUGCAAUCGACUAGUUGGAUUGGAGUAAAACUUAUGUAAGAGAAUAUAAGACUUGUUUUUCUAUGUGUAUGAGAAUUUUGAGAUCAAUCGAACGGUGAAAAAGAGAGAUAUUGGCUCUGGAAGAUCGACAUCAAGAUUGGAGAAGGAGGCCGGCCAAUACCCAAGCACAUUUUUGAGGUUAUCGUCAAUUUGGUAACUUCGAUCCUUUUCAAUCUUUUUGUGCUUGUUUUGAACUUAGUUUUUAAGAAGUGUGCAAAAUUUGAGUUAAGAUCAACGGUUUAUUCAUUAGUUAUUGAGGUUUAAAUCUGCUAUAGGAAUUACUAGGAUUUGGUUAGAUUUUGGUUUAGGGUUUAGGAUUUGGAUUAGGGUUUGAUUUAGGAUUUAGGGUUUGGUUAGGAUUUGAUUUAGGGUUAAGGAUUUGGAUUAGGAUUUGGAUUAGAAUUUGGUUAGGGUUUGAUUUAGGAAUUAGGAUUUGGUUUAAGAUUUGAUUAGGAUUUAGUUAGGAUUUGGUUAGGGUUUGGUUUAGGAUUUGGUUGGGUUUUGGUUUAAGAUUUGUUUAGGGUUUGGAUUAGGAUUUGGUUUAGGAUUAGGAUUUGGUUUAGGAUUUAGGGUUUAGGAUUAGGAUUUAGGAUUUAGGAUUAGGAUUUAGGAUUUGAUUAGGAUUUUAUUUAGGAUUUAGGGUUGAGAUUAGGAUUUGGUUUAGGGUUUAGGAUUUGGUUGGGGUUUGAUUUAAGGUUUGUUUAGGGUUUGAUUUAGGGUUUAGAAAUUUAUUAGGAUUUAAGAUUUAAUUAGUUUUGUUCUAAAAUUUGAAUGAAUUUCAAUAAGAUUUUAACUAGAAUUAAAU